rnacentral:lncRNA from 1 species
UAGAGCCAACCCCUUAAGCAGAAAGUGUCUAUCCUUUCCUGCCAUUUCCCCACUGAGAUACAUCCUCGUGGAUGACGGUUGUUUCCGUUCCCUCCCUAACGGGAGGGGUUUUCCCUAUUGAGUUCUUUCCUCAUUAGGAUGAGUCUUGAUCCAGUCUGCCUUUUUGGAUCAAUCCUAAAUUGGCUUCCUGUUGGCUGUCUCCCGUGCUUCCCUGGGGCAUAAAUGAAUAGUCGCUCAUUAACC